rnacentral:rRNA from 1 species
AACGAACGCUGGCGGCAGGCCUAACACAUGCAAGUCGAGCGAAGCCUUCGGGCUUAGCGGCGGACGGGUGAGUAACGCGUGGGAACGUGCCCUUUGCUACGGAAUAGCCCCGGGAAACUGGGAGUAAUACCGUAUGUGCCCUUCGGGGGAAAGAUUUAUCGGCAAAGGAUCGGCCCGCGUUGGAUUAGGUAGUUGGUGGGGUAAUGGCCUACCAAGCCGACGAUCCAUAGCUGGUUUGAGAGGAUGAUCAGCCACACUGGGACUGAGACACGGCCCAGACUCCUACGGGAGGCAGCAGUAGGGAAUAUUGGACAAUGGGCGCAAGCCUGAUCCAGCCAUGCCGCGUGAGUGAUGAAGGCCCUAGGGUUGUAAAGCUCUUUCACCGAUGAAGAUAAUGACGGUAGUCGGAGAAGAAGCCCCGGCUAACUUCGUGCCAGCCGCCGCAGUAAUAC